UGAUGCUGCAGUUAAAGCAAUAGAAGUUUAAUAUUUUUAUUUACUACUAAUGAUCAAGAAAAUAUAUUGGACUAUCUUCUUGAUAUGGUUUGGAGUCUUCCAUACAUGCUGAGUUCUGGAAAAUCCUUACAGAUGGGAAUAAAGAGCAAGGGCAUGAUUUCGUUAGUCAUGAGAAUUUAGCUGUGCUCAUUAUCCAUCUUCUACUGAAAUGGUUUCUCUUCUAGCAGGAAUACCAGAACGCAGGCCUUACCAGGCCAGAGAGGAGAAAACAUCCUUGCAGAAAAGAAUUAAUUUGUUUUCAGCUGGUACAAUAACUGAACUAAAUAUCCCAGAUUCUCAUGCUUUUGAAGUGUUCUCAGUCAACAGCAGAUUUAAAAAACUUAUGUGAAAAGUCUUUCAGGUAUAAAUGUACUGUUACUUCCUAAAGCUUUUGAUUUUUCCCCACAAACAUAUAAGGAAAUGGAGAAUAUAUUCUAUUAAAAAAAAAUAUUCUUUAUCCAGUGUGAAAACGUUGAGCAGUAUGCAUUUACUUGAGUAGCUUUUCAGAUUAAAAUUGUGCAGUAGAUAUUUUAAAUGUGAAUAAUUUUUCUAUAAAACAUGCUUUAAUAGUUCUGCUAUUUUGAAAACAAAAGAUUUGCUUUCAAAAUAUAUCUUCACCAUCUUUGUUUAAUUUUGGCUAUUUGGAAAUUUUCUGCAUCCUGCGGAAUGGCACACCUGAUGCAGACAUCCUUAGAGGAGACCUUGCAUCUGUAUAACUGAGAUGUCUGGUAUUUGAAAAUAUAUUGAAACUUUUAAAGAUACACAUAAAAAAAGGAAACAAAAAAGGUUUAAUUGAAUUACUUUAUAGGACAUUACUUUUUCAAAUGUGUCUAUUGUAUUUUGUACACUAAGUCAAUUUUUUUUUACGUUACAUUGCUUGUUUUAUCUGAAGCAUGGCAAUUUGCCAACCUUAGCGUUUAGUGAUAAAUUCUGCUAUACAAAGCAGAAGUUUUUAUAUCUGAGGCCAUUUCCUUCUGCUAUUUUAUCAUCUUCCUGGUUUUGUCUGCUUUCAAUAAAUGCCUUUGUAUUUUCACAUCUUUUAUAUGCAUGUAUACACAGAUCCUUUCCUCUGUAUUAAAACUGAUAGUUGCAAGUUGGUAAGGAUAAAAAAGACAGACUGUUGACUUCAAUUUCAUUGCACUAAUAUACUACACGGAUGCUUUUAUAUUACAGUAUUAAAAAGUCUUAACAUAUUAA